rnacentral:rRNA from 1 species
UACAGAGGGUGCAAGCGUUGUUCGGAAUUACUGGGCGUAAAGCGCGCGUAGGUGGCUAAGCAAGUCUUGUGUGAAAGCCUCAGGCUCAACCUGAGAGGGUCAUGAGAAACUACUUAGCUGGAGGAUGGGAGAGGAGAGUGGAAUUCCCGGUGUAGAGGUGAAAUUCGUAGAUAUCGGGAGGAACACCAGAGGCGAAGGCGGCUCUCUGGCCCAUUUCUGACACUCUGGCGCGAAAGCGUGGGUAGCAAACAGG